UAUGGCCACAUCAUGUUGAAACAUUGGUUCCCACAUGAUCACCAAUGUUAAGCAACAUAGAGACUGGUCAGUACCUAGAUGGGUGACUGCUUGGGAAUACCAGAUGCUGUUG